GAGAUAUCAAAAUGGUUUUUGAUCGUUCUAAUGGCUCCAUACAUCAUUCUUCACCACAAGAAAUCCCAAAUACUCUCUUAAAUCCAUCUUUGAAGGAGAAUCAAGCUUUUUGAGUGGGUUUCUUAAAGUUUUAGCUCUUAGAGGGAUAUUUUCCACCAUCAACACAAUAGAGUUUCUUCUUUCCUUUUCUUUUUCUUUUGAUAAGAAUCAAUUUUUUAUUUGAUGAUGUUUGAUUUGGUUUUUAUAGAUUUUAAUUUUGCUUUUAUUAAUAUGAGUGGCUAAAUACUUUAGCUAGAGAUUUUAAUGUAGCUUGACCUAAAUGAUUUAUCAAUUUUGAUAUAUUUUCUCUGUUUUAGCAAUUAAUUGUUAUUUUAAUUUUAAUGCAUUUGGGUGUUGGACAUAAUGCUUGAAUGAUCUUUGAUUCAUAACUUGGCUAGGAAGCAUUUUAUGAAUCUUGUUAGAGCAACCAUUAUCAUAGUUAAUUAGCUAAGAGUGGAAACUAAGGUAUUACUAUGGGAUAUUUUGUUAACUUGGGUUUUUAAUGCUUUGGUUAGUCAAAUAAUUCUUAUUGGGAAAUUUGGGUUAUCUUGGUUAAUUGAAAGGUUUAAUAAUACUUAGGAAGGAUUAUUAGAUAUUUUUGUGUUAUUACCCUUGCUAAGAUAGUUAAAUUGAUUAUAUGACAAAAUUGAGUAAAAUUGCAUAAUGGGUCAAGUGAAGUCAAAAUCUCUAGCCUUCUUUUAUUUGAUUUUAAACUCUUAUCUUUGUUUCUUUUGUUAGUUAAUUUUUAAUUAAGUUAAUUUUAGUUUAAUUCUAGUUAAUAUUAGCUUUUCUUUCAUUCAAAUUGAUUUGAUAGUCUAGAUACAAGUAAAAUUAACAUAAAUUUUGGUUAUUAUAAACAAUCCUUAUGGGAUGAUACUAUAUUCGCUUUUUAUUACUUAUACGAAUUCGUACACUUAUAGACAAGUAGCAAGUUUUUAGUACCUUUGCUAGGGAUUGGUGCUUUAAUAUCAAAAUAGUUAAUUUUGCUAGUAAUCUAGAUAUUUCUUUCCUUUUUUAUUUUAUUCUUCUACAUUAUUAUCUUAUUUUUUUUGUGAGAUCAUUAAUUUAAGCUCAUUGAUGGUACUACCACAUACACCAUUCAAGGAUCCUUACCUCCUAAUGACACCGCCUUCACCAUACUAUUUUCUCACUAAGCUAAAGGAAAAAUUAGAGUACUCUUUCCAAACAUAUCAAUCCAAGCCAAGUGUUGUUGGUGCUAUAUGCAAAAUCUCUCUAAACCUGGCCAAUCUUAAGGGCAUGAUAAACCAAGACCCAUAAGUAGUGUUACAUGAUAACUACUAUUGGCAGAGCCCACUCUUUGAUGAGUAAUUAUCCAAGUGGUCAAGCUAAAGACCUAAAACAGGUGACUAAAAAGAAAAGAAAAUCAAAGCAAAGCUAUGGAUGGAGUAAAGCAUAAGAGAAUUUUGGAAAGCUACAAAGAGGGGUGUCUCUAAACUUUGCUUUGAAAUAAUGGAUGUGGUGAUCUCUUGCUUUGUGUUGGAUUGAGAAAUAUUGUGUUUAUGUGAUGUGUUGAAUGAUUGAAUUAUUGGGAUGGUAAUGACUUAUGAAAUUGUAAAGAAUGAUUUUAGGUAUUGAAGUGUGCUUGAAUAUGAUGAAUUAUGUGUGAAUGUGCAUAAAUUCAAUUAAGUGUGGGUUUGAGUUGUUAUGUGUUGACAAUGAGGACAAUGCCAAAUUUAGGUUUGGGGGUACAUUUAUUUUUUAUUUUUGGUCUAUAUGUUUUGAUUUAUAGUUUUGAGUCAUUUUGCACAACUUUGAUGUAAUAACCUGAAUUUUUUUAAAUAAUAAAAUAUAACUUUUAACAUUAUUUUAUCAAUAUUAUUAUAAUUGAAAGAAUUUAUUUAAAAAUACCAUUAUUAUAUUAAAUUGAAUUUUGGUUUAAUUAUUUGACUGUACCAUUAUAUUAUUAAAUAAAGAUUAUUUUAAUUUUUAUCUUUAUUAGUAAUCAUAUUAAUAUUUGUUCUAAGUUUGAUUUUAUUGAUUUUUUAUUGUUCUAAGUGAAAAAUGGCCAUUGAUUGAAGAAAAUUUUGCAAAGAAAUAAUUAGGUUCAUUUGGGAGUUUUUAGAGUUAAAUUUUCAUAUCUAAGAUAUGAAAGAGGAGCCAAUUCACACCCAGAGCGUGAGACUUAUGACAAAUUGAAGAAAAAUGAAGGAAAUGCAUGAAUUUGUGGUCAUAUAAGGAUUCACACCCCAAGUGUGAAAUGCAACUUCAUGCACACCCAGAGCGUGAAUCAUGGAAUGAGUAGUAUUUCUCCCAUAACAUACAUGACAUGCGUUCUAAAGGAGAGAGAGAUAUCAGAAUGGUUUUUGAUGGUUCUAAUAGCUACACACACCAUUCUUCACACCAAAAGUCCUAAAUACUCUCUCGAAUUUAUCUAAAAAGGAGAAUCAAGUUUUAGAGUGGAUUUGUUAAAGUUUUGGCUCUUAAAAGGAGAUUUUCACCAUCAACCAUAAUGGGGUUUCUUCUUUUCUUUUCUUUUCUUUUUGAUAGGAAUCCAUUUUUAUUUGAUGAUGUUUGAUUUGGAUUUUAUAGAGUUUGAUUUUUUUUUUUUUUUUUUGUUAAUAUGAGUGGCUAAAUACUUUAGCUAGAGAUUUUGAUGUAGCUUGACCUAAGUGAUUUAUCAAUUUUGAGUGAUUUAUCAAUUUUAAUA